GUUCUCACCCUGUGCUGACGAAGGUGGGCUUGGAGCUCUGGGCAGGCUUUACGUGACUUUACGAGGGGCUGCACAGGCAAACUGUGCUGAAGCCGGGAAUGAACCCACACGUUCCCUGGGAGGAAUCCCCAGGGUCCCAGCAGGAUGCAUUAACAGCACAUCUCUCCAGCGAGCCGUGAUGGGAAGAGCACGGAGCAAAAAAAAGAGAGAACCGAAGAACCGAUCUCUCGAAGGAUCCUGGCUGGCAGCAAUAUCAGCAUCUGACUGAAGAGAACUCAGCCGCACGCAUAAUCCUCGGGAAAAUUCAUCUCCACCCUCCC